rnacentral:rRNA from 1 species
GUUUCGAUCAUGGCUCAGAUUGAACGCUGGCGGGAUGCUUUUACACCUGCAAGUCGAACGACGCUUACGGACUUCGGUCUGGUGGCGAGUGGCGAACGAGUGGAGAGUAAUGUCUCGGAACAUUGCCUAGUAGCGGGGGAUAACUACGCGAAAGCGUAGCUAAUAUCGCACAUACGCCCUUCGGGGAAAGCGGGGACCUUCGGGCCUCGCACUAUUAGAGCGGCCGAUAUCGGAUUAGCUAGUUGGUGGGAGUAACGGCUCACCAAGGCGACGAUCCGUAGCUGGUUUGAGAGGACGACCAGCCACACUGGGACUGAGACACGGCCCAGACUCCUACGGGAGGCAGCAGUGGGGGUACGGACAAUGGGGGAAACCCUGGUGGUCAGCCAUCCCGCGUGCGAUGAAGGCCUUCGGGUUAUAAAGCACUUUUGGCAGGAAAGAAACGGCACGGGAUAAUACCCCGUGCAACUGACGGUACCUGCAGAAUGGCACCGGCUAACUACGUGCCAGCAUACGCGGUAAUACGUAGGGUGCAAGCGUUAAUCGGAAUUACUGGGCGUAAAGCGUGCGCAGGCGGUUCGGAAAAGAAAGAUGUGAAAUCCCAGAGCUUAACUUUUUGGAACUGCAUUUUUAACUACCGAGCUAGGGUGUGUCAGAGGGAGGUGGAAUUCCACGCGUGUAGCAGUGAAAUGCGUAGAUAUGCGGAGAACACCGAUGGCGAAGGCAGCCUCCUGGGAUAACAUGAGCGCUCAUGCACGAAAGCGUGGGGGCAAACGGGAUUAGAUACCCUGGUAGUCCACGCCCUAAACGAUGUCAACUAGCUGUUGGGGCCUUCGGGCCUUGGUAGCGCAGCUAACGCGUGAAGUUGACCGCCUAGAGAUACGGUCGCAAGAUUAAAACUCAAAGGAAUUGACGGGGACCCGCACAAGCGGUGGAUGAUGUGGAUUAAUUCGAUGCAACGCGAAAAACCUUGCUACCCUUGACAUGUCUGGAAUCCCGAAGAGAUUUGGGAGUGCUCGCAAGAGAACCGGAACACAGGUGCUGCAUGGCUGUCGUCAGCUCGUGUCGUGAGAUGUUGGGUUAAGUCCCGCAACGAGCGCAACCCUUGUCGUAGUUGCUACGAAAGGGCACUCUAAUGAGACUGCCGGUGACAAACCGGAAGGUGGGGAUGACGUCAAGUCUCUGGCCCUUAUGGGUAGGGCUUCACACGUCAUACAAUGGUCGGGACAGAGGGUCGCCAACCCGCGAGGAGCCAAUCAGAAACGAUCGUAGUCCGGAUCGCAGUCUGCAACUCGACUGCGUGAAGUCGGAAUCGCUGGUAAUCGCGGAUCAGCAUGUCGCGAGUGAAUACGUUCCCGGGUCUUGUACACACCGCCCGUCACACCAUGGGAGUGGGUUUAGAAGUAGUUAGCCUAACCGUAAGGAGGGCGAUUACCACGGUAGGAUUCAUGACUGGGGUGAAGUCGUAACAAAGGUAA